UACGUAGGGUGCAAGCGUUGUCCGGAAUUAUUGGGCGUAAAGAGCUCGUAGGCGGUUUGUUGCGUCGGCUGUGAAAUCCCGAGGCUCAACCUCGGGUCUGCAGUCGAUACGAGCAAACUAGAGUGUUGCAGGGGAGACUGGAAUUCCUGGUGUAGCGGUGAAAUGCGCAGAUAUCAGGAGGAACACCGGUGGCGAAGGCGGGGUCUCUGGGCAACAACUGACGCUGGAGGAGCGAAAGCGUGGGGAGCGAACAGG
rnacentral:rRNA from 1 species